rnacentral:lncRNA from 1 species
AGAGGAAUUAUCAUGACUGCUCCCAAAUAUAUAUGGAAAGAAUAUGAUCAGAUGCCAAAACUGUGAUUAAUAUUUAAAUAUUGAAUAGGAUUCACAUCCACAGCAGGAUGCUUUAAGGAAUGGAAUGUGUUGUAGCACCCAGAGUAUUUGCUAAGAGGCUGAGGCAGCAUGCCUGUGUCUCAGUCUUCACAGGCCCAAGUCAGGCCCUGAUGUCAGACAGAGAUGACGUCAUAGGCCCUAGCCCACUGUUGCAGAGCCAUCUCUAUUUCUGCUUUGAAUUCUGAUGGGCUUGCCUUGGAGAGGUUUCAUACCUCAGCUAAACUUUCUUUUAUCAAGAUAAAUUAUGGGCAGUGGUCAGUACUCACUUGUCACUAAGAAGAUACACAAUCUAACGAGUCCUAGCACAGUCUGACUUUUUUUCUUAGUCAUACUAGCUAGUCAUACACUGCAGGAUCUAAGUUAUUUUAUCCUGUGCCCUGUCUGCUAGUCCUCAUUGUUAACAGAUAUUCAAAGUCAGAUUCACUUCAUUAUCAUACUGUACUAGAAUUUGCCAUCAAAACUUUCUGCUUUCUGCUCUUUGGCACUGUUCUCUGUUUUCAUAUCUAGAAUGUUUUACCCAUCGUUAUCCUCAUGGGUAUCAAAUCACUCACAUAAUUUCCUUGAAUAUCACUUUGUGCUAAGUGUGACUUGACAAAUAUAUUUGGAUACGAUUAAGAGUCUGUGAGGAUUACUAUAGAUUUGGCAAUGUCUAGUUGGAGAUUACAGUACCAUGUCAAACCUCCAUAACAACAAAACUAGUAAAAAGAUUUGGAAUUAAAACAGAGACCAUCUCCACCCUAGGGAGUUAGAAAAGCCGUGUUGGAUGUCAUAAUCUGGGCUAAGUGUUCAGUAACUGUGUAGUGCUGGCCAGAUGGAGCCUGGUGUGUGAAAGCAGAGACGUGAUGGCAGGCAGGGUCAGACAUUCAUGGCGAAGGGCUCUGCAAGCUGCAGGCAUCAUUUGGUCUCCAUUCAGUUCUCCACUUGCACUGCAUGGGGAUAAAUCUGACUUAAGGAAGCUGGCAAUGAGAGCCACUACUGGAAUGCUUUCAUACACAAGCUCAGCCACAAAAGGACAUGCUGACAACCAUAACAAAUAACCGAAUGAGUGAUGAAUGAACUCUGCUGAGAAGCAAAGAAAUAAAAACAGUUUGAGGAUAUGUCCAAUCAUAUUGUUUUUCAUAACUGGGAACUGAGUACUUUUUAUUCAUGAAGCAUGGUGCUGGAUGCUAAGGAAGACAGUACUCCUCAGUCUAAGAAGAAAAUCGCAUGUUAAAGAGCUCUUAUACAAGUAGACAUGACUGCAAGGCUUAGUAAAUGCAAGAUAGAUAAAGUACAGGGUGCCGAGGAGUUGGAUGGAGCAGUUUUAAUUAAGUGUAAGUGGAGAGCCAGUUAGCACUUUCAAGGAAGAGAAAGUCUGCUGAGCCUGAAAACAGGGCACAUGGUAGAACCUUCUCAGGAGUGAGAUGUGAAGAUGCUGAAAUGGAAUAGUGCUAAGCUUCAAAGACCCGAGAAAACAGGAAUGAGGAAUAGGAAGGAUAGAACACCUGAUACAGGAGGAGGGUCUGAGGAUGGUGGGAGGUGUUUGGAGGGUUUAGUCAAUUGAAGAGGAAAUUGGAAGACACGAGGAAGCAUCUCGUGUCUGCUUUCUGUGUUUUUGUAGAACUAACACAGAUCAUUAGGAGGCUGGGAACUCCAGUUCUCCUUCAGUGCAGUCAGGAGAUGCAAGUGGAGUGACGACACUGUUUUCUUUUUCAUUUUUUAAAGAUUUAUCUAUUUAUUUAUUAUUAGAUAUUUUCUUUAUUUACAUAUCAAAUGUUAUCCCCUUUCCUAGUUUCCCCUCUGAAAAAUCCCCUAUCCUCUCCCAUCCUCCCCCUGCUCACCAACCCAUCCACUCUCUCCUCCAUUCCCCUAUACUGCGGCAUAGAACAUUUAAAGGACCAAGGUCCUCUCCUUCCAUUGAUGACCGACUAGGCCAUCCUUUGCUACAUAUGCAUCUAGAGCCAUGAGUCCCACCAUGUGUUUUCUUUGAUUGGUGGUUUAGUCCCAGGGAGCUCUGGGGGUACUGGUUAGUAUAUAUUGUUGUUCCUCCUAUGGGGCUGCAAACCUCUUCGGCUCCUUGGGUACUUUCUCUAGCUCCUUCAUUGGAGACCCUGUGUACUGUCUAAUAGAUGACUGUGAGUAUCCACUUCUGUAUUAGUCAGGCACUGGCAGAACCUCUCAAGGGACAGCUAUACCAGGCUCCUGUCAGCAAGCUCUUGUUGGCAUCCACAGUAGUGUCUGGUUUUGGUGGUUGUUUAUGGGAUGGAUCCCCUAGUGGGACAGUCUCUGGAUGGUCAUUCCUUCAGUCUCUGCUCUGAACUUUGUCUCUGUAACUCUGUCCACGGGUAUUCUUGUUCCCCCUUCUAAGAAGGAUCAAAGUAUCCACACUUUAGUCUUCCUUCUUCUUGAGUUUCAUGUGUUUUGCAAAUUAUAUCUUGAAUAGUCUAAGUUUCUGGGAUAAUAUCCACUUAUCAGUGAGUGCAUAUCUUGUGUGUUCUUUUGUGUUUGGGUAUCCUCACUCAGGAUGAUACCCUCCAGAUCCAUCCAUUUGCCUAAGAAUUUCAUAAAUUUUAAUAACUGAGUAGUACUCCAUUGUGUAAAUGUACCACAUUUUCUGUAUCCAUUGCUCUGUUGAGAGACAUCUGAGUUCUUUCCAACUUCUGGCUAUUAUAAAUAAUGCUGCUAUGAACAUAGUGAAGCAUGUGUCCUUAUUACAAGUUGGAACAUCUUCUGGGUAUAUGCCCAGAAGAGGUAUUGCUGGAUCUUCCGAGAGUAUUAUGUCCAAUUUUCUGAGGAACCACCAAACUGAUUUCCAGAGUUGUUGUACUAGCUUGCAAUCCCACCAGCAAUGGAGAAGUGUUCCUCUUUCACCACAUCCUUGUCAGCAUCUGCUGUCACCUUAGUUUUGGAUCUUAGCCAUUCUGACUGGUGUGAGGUGGAAUCUCAGGGUUGUUUUGAUUUGCAAUUUCCUGAUGACUAAGGAUGUUGAACAUUUUUUUAGGUGCUUUUCAGCCAUUUGGUAUUCCUCAGUUGAAAAUUCUUUGUUUAGCUCUGUACCCUAUUUUAAAAUAUGGUUAUUUGGUUUUCUGGAGUUUUAUAUAUAUUAGAUAUUAGUAUGAAACUAUUUUCUACACUAAGAGGACAAAUUAGAAGAACUCAUCACUUUCCUUUCUGGAUAUGGCGUCACAAAGCUUUAAUCCCAGCACUGUUAAAGCAGAAACUGAGAGAUCUCUAUGAAGUCAGCCUGAUCUACAUAGCAAGUUCCCGAUAGCCAAGGCUACACAAUAAGAUCUUGUCUCAAAACAACAAGAACAAGAAUGACAGUUCCAUGAUUCAUAAGAGUCUUUUCUGAGGCUUGCUUUAUAGUCAUUUCCUCUAACAUAAAGCAGACCAUAUUGGAAGGAAGCUGCUUAAGCUAAGAACCUAAACAACUCAAAAGCUUUAGGAAAUUCCUGAAACUGAUCAGGCUCACUAGACACCACCCCCUACUUACUCACGCUUAUAAAACCAGUAUAAACUACUGAGAGAUACUCUCAGACAAGUAGAGCUGCUGAGACGAAGCUCAGAUUACAGGUGGUGACUGAAAGAGAUGCUCAACAAUGGAAAAUAGACAUUUUCCAAGAUGCCAAGCUGCCAACAAAUGCACUGCAGGUUUCUAAUUUUCAUAAACUCAUGCAGAUGUGGGUUUUUGAGAUGUAGCUAUCUUUGAGUCAUUUUUGAUCCUGUAAUUAAUCCUUCAAUCAUACUCCUGUAAGUAAUCCCAAUAAAACACACUGCUUC